rnacentral:rRNA from 1 species
AUGGACUUGGAUCAGCAAAGAUAUUAUUAUCUCACCAUGUUGUGGCGGAGAACUCUGUCUGUCAUUGUUCUUCUCUUGGCUCUUUGGUAUAGAGACAAAGAUGGUAGAAAAUUUAGAAGUGGAGGAAGAAAGUAUGGUCCUCUAGUUGAGAGAGACAUCUACAGGACUAGUGUCCUGGUUAGGCUAAUUGACACAUCCGAUGCAAUAUGUAUCAAGCAACUGCGGAUGUCUCGAGCUGUGUUUUACAAGCUAUGCAUUAGGCUCAGGCAGAAAAAGUUGUUAAUUGAUACACUACAUGUUUCAGUAGAGGAACAAGUAGCAAUGUUCCUAUACAUGAUCGGUCAGCAUCACACAAAUUCAUCCGUUGGAUUUUGGUUCUGGCGAUCUAGUGAAACAGUGAGCAGAUAUUUCAAUAUUGUUCUUCGUGCGAUGGGGGAGUUAGCUCGUGAUCUCAUUUACAUUAGAUCAACGGACACACACACAAAAAUCACUAGCAGCCCGGACAGAUUCUACCCGUAUUUUGAGGGAUGCAUAGGGGCACUAGAUGGCACUCAUGUUAAGGCUUGUGUUCCUGCCCACAUGGUCGACAAGUUUAGGGGCCGCAAGUCAUACCCCUCCCAAAAUGUGCUAGCAGUUGUUGACUUCGACCUUCGAUUCACAUAUGUUCUAGCUGGUUGGGAGGGCUCUGCCCAUGAUUCUCUUGUGCUAAAAGAUGCCCUCACACGUCCAGGGGGAUUAAAAAUACCCGAAGGGAAAUAUUUCUUGGCUGAUGCUGGGUAUGCUGCGAGGCCAGGGAUAUUACCUCCUUAUCGUGGUGUGCGCUACCACCUAAAUGAAUUUGCUGGAGACCGUGACCCAACUACCCCAAAAGAAUUGUUCAACCACCGCCAUUCAUCACUUAGGACCACAGUUGAACGGGCAUUUGGGACUCUUAAGAGUUGCUUCAAGAUUCUUACUCAAAGGCCCUUCAUACCUUUGAAAUCUCAGAUUAAAGUGGUAGUUGCUUGUUGUGCUUUGCACAAUUGGAUAUUAGAAAAUGGUCCAUAUGAUUAUGUUGUGGAUGAGGCGACAUGGUAUGACAAUCUCCCUACGAGUACUGGGCGGGUUCGUGAUCAAGAGGCUGACAUAUGUGAGUGGGCUGCCAAGCAAGAUUUAAUCGCUCAGCAAAUGUGGACAGAUAGAGAGAGUGCACGUGACAAUGAGGCUGAUGCUAUCCCAGCUUAG